rnacentral:rRNA from 1 species
CCCCUAGAUGUUCUGGGCCGCACGCGCGCUACACUGAACAGUUCAACAAGUCUUAACCUUGGCCGAUAGGUCUGGGUAAUCUUUGAACGCUGUUCGUGAUUGGGAUAGACCUUUGCAAUUAUGGGUCUUCAACGAGGAAUUCCUAGUAAACGCAAGUCAUCAGCUUGCAUUGAUUACGUCCCUGCCCUUUGUACACACCGCCCGUCGCUCCUACCGAUUGAAUGAUCCGAUGAAUACCAUGGAUUGAGAGUACGAAUAGGUUCGCUUAUUUCUGCUGCUCGAGAAGUGGAGUAAAUCUUAUCAUUUAGAGGAAGGAGAAGUCGUAACA